GACCUUUACAUUUUAAUCAAAUUAAGGCAUAAUAUUUGGUGCUAAUAUAGCUAUAGUAAUAAACGUAAUUUAGAAUAGAGGUUGCGGACUCGGGGGCAGUACCCGACGCCUCCACCAAAACUUUCUAAAUAACUUGCUUCUAAAGGUAAUUUGUACGUCGAACCGGUACUCGAAUCCUCACGUACCAAGUGUACGCUGCGGUUCGAGGUGAAGUGUCUCCUUUUAUUAGCGGCGUCAUUUAGAAAAGUUUAAAUAUAUAAUAUAAUAAAGAGUAGACAAUACGAAGAUCAACUUCAAAAAGAGCAAGGAGUUCACAAGGCGAGGAGCGAAGCGUAUACUUAAUACGUGAACACCGCAGCUCUUGUAGAACGACGUAGCCAAUUUUUGAAGUUCAUCGAGUAUUUUAUGGGGGCGAAAUAGGAUCGACGUACCUAAUAAAAAGAUUGCUUUUACUCGGGAUGAUUCCGCCGAUGGCUUUGCCAUAUGGGUCAAAACAAAGAAACGCAAACGAUAAUAAUCGUUAUGUAGGUGCAGCUUUAGCAGCUUAAUCCUACGCGGCUGGGGGUUUGCCGGGCAACAGAAAAACCCCACA
rnacentral:tmRNA from 16 species